AGUGGGGAAUAUUGCACAAUGGAGGAAACUCUGAUGCAGCAACGCCGCGUGGAGGAUGACACAUUUCGGUGCGUAAACUCCUUUUAUAUGAGAAGAUAAUGACGGUAUCAUAUGAAUAAGCACCGGCUAACUUCGUGCCAGCAGCCGCGGUAAUACGAGGGGUGCAAGCGUUACUCGGAAUCACUGGGCGUAAAGAGCAUGUAGGCGGGUAAUUAAGUUGGAAGUGAAAUCCUAUGGCUCAACCAUAGAACUGCUUCCAAAACUGAUUACCUAGAGUAUGGGAGAGGUAGAUGGAAUUUCUGGUGUAGGGGUAAAAUCCGUAGAGAUCAGAAGGAAUACCGAUUGCGAAGGCGAUCUACUGGAACAUUACUGACGCUAAGAUGCGAAAGCGUGGGGAGCAAACAGGAUUAGAUACCCUGGUAGUCCACGCCCUAAACGAUGUACACUAGUUGUUGCUAUGCUAGACAUAGCAGUAAUGCAGUUAACACAUUAAGUGUACCGCCUGGGGAGUACGGUCGCAAGAUUAAAACUCAAAGGAAUAGACGGGGACCCGCACAAGCGGUGGAGCAUGUGGUUUAAUUCGACGAUACGCGAAGAACCUUACCUGGCCUUGACAUAGACAGAAUUUAGUAGAGAUAUAAAAGUGCCAGUUUACUGGAGCUGUUAUACAGGUGCUGCACGGCUGUCGUCAGCUCGUGUCGUGAGAUGUUGGGUUAAGUCCCGCAACGAGCGCAACCCUCGUGAUUAGUUAAUAACGGUUCGGCCGAUGACUCUAAUCAGACUGCCUGGGUAACCAGGAGGAAGGUGAGGACGACGUCAAGUCAUCAUGGCCCUUACGGCCAGGGCUACACACGUGCUACAAUGGGGUAUACAGAGAGCCGCGAUACCGCGAGGUGGAGCAAAUCUUUAAAAUAUCUCCCAGUUCGGAUAGCAGUCUGCAACUCGACUGCUUGAAGUUGGAAUCGCUAGUAAUCGUGAAUAAGCAAUGUCACGGUGAAUACGU
rnacentral:rRNA from 1 species